rnacentral:rRNA from 1 species
UAACGAAUAUUCCGCAAUGGACGAAAGUCUGACGGAGCAAUGCCGCGUGCAGGAUGAAGCGGUUUCGCCGUGUAAACUGCUGUCAGGGGCAGGAAAAACUGAUCCGCCCCAAAGGAAGAGACGGCUAACCCUGUGCCAGCAGCCGCGGUAAUACAGGGGUCUCGAGCGUUAAUCGGAAUCACUGGGCUUAAAGGGUGCGUAGGCGGAUCCGUAAGCGCUUUGUGAAAUCCCCCGGCUCAACCGGGGAACUGCAGGGCGAACUGCGGAUCUUGAGGAAACUAGAGGCCGGUAGAACGAUUGGUGGAGCGGUGGAAUGCGUAGAUAUCAAUCGGAAUGCCAAAAGUGAAGACAGCCGGCUGGGGUUUUCCUGACGCUGAGGCACGAAAGCGUGGGGAGCAAACCGGAUUAGAUACCCAUGUAGUCCCUGAGCGGGCUGGCAAGGCGCAU